GGGUUGUGAGGUUAAGCGACUAAGCGUACACGGUGGAUGCCCUGGCAGUCAGAGGCGAUGAAGGACGUGCUAAUCUGCGAUAAGCGUCGGUAAGGUGAUAUGAACCGUUAUAACCGGCGAUUUCCGAAUGGGGAAACCCAGUGUGUUUCGACACACUAUCAUUAACUGAAUCCAUAGGUUAAUGAGGCGAACCGGGGGAACUGAAACAUCUAAGUACCCCGAGGAAAAGAAAUCAACCGAGAUUCCCCCAGUAGCGGCGAGCGAACGGGGAGCAGCCCAGAGCCUGAAUCAGUGUGUGUGUUAGUGGAAGCGUCUGGAAAGGCGCGCGAUACAGGGUGACAGCCCCGUACACAAAAAUGCACAUGCUGUGAGCUCGAUGAGUAGGGCGGGACACGUGGUAUCCUGUCUGAAUAUGGGGGGACCAUCCUCCAAGGCUAAAUACUCCUGACUGACCGAUAGUGAACCAGUACCGUGAGGGAAAGGCGAAAAGAACCCCGGCGAGGGGAGUGAAAAAGAACCUGAAACCGUGUACGUACAAGCAGUGGGAGCACGCUUAGGCGUGUGACUGCGUACCUUUUGUAUAAUGGGUCAGCGACUUAUAUUCUGUAGCAAGGUUAACCGAAUAGGGGAGCCGAAGGGAAACCGAGUCUUAACUGGGCGUUAAGUUGCAGGGUAUAGACCCGAAACCCGGUGAUCUAGCCAUGGGCAGGUUGAAGGUUGGGUAACACUAACUGGAGGACCGAACCGACUAAUGUUGAAAAAUUAGCGGAUGACUUGUGGCUGGGGGUGAAAGGCCAAUCAAACCGGGAGAUAGCUGGUUCUCCCCGAAAGCUAUUUAGGUAGCGCCUCGUGAAUUCAUCUCCGGGGGUAGAGCACUGUUUCGGCAAGGGGGUCAUCCCGACUUACCAACCCGAUGCAAACUGCGAAUACCGGAGAAUGUUAUCACGGGAGACACACGGCGGGUGCUAACGUCCGUCGUGAAGAGGGAAACAACCCAGACCGCCAGCUAAGGUCCCAAAGUCAUGGUUAAGUGGGAAACGAUGUGGGAAGGCCCAGACAGCCAGGAUGUUGGCUUAGAAGCAGCCAUCAUUUAAAGAAAGCGUAAUAGCUCACUGGUCGAGUCGGCCUGCGCGGAAGAUGUAACGGGGCUAAACCAUGCACCGAAGCUGCGGCAGCGACGCUUAUGCGUUGUUGGGUAGGGGAGCGUUCUGUAAGCCUGUGAAGGUGUGCUGUGAGGCAUGCUGGAGGUAUCAGAAGUGCGAAUGCUGACAUAAGUAACGAUAAAGCGGGUGAAAAGCCCGCUCGCCGGAAGACCAAGGGUUCCUGUCCAACGUUAAUCGGGGCAGGGUGAGUCGACCCCUAAGGCGAGGCCGAAAGGCGUAGUCGAUGGGAAACAGGUUAAUAUUCCUGUACUUGGUGUUACUGCGAAGGGGGGACGGAGAAGGCUAUGUUGGCCGGGCGACGGUUGUCCCGGUUUAAGCGUGUAGGCUGGUUUUCCAGGCAAAUCCGGAAAAUCAAGGCUGAGGCGUGAUGACGAGGCACUACGGUGCUGAAGCAACAAAUGCCCUGCUUCCAGGAAAAGCCUCUAAGCAUCAGGUAACAUCAAAUCGUACCCCAAACCGACACAGGUGGUCAGGUAGAGAAUACCAAGGCGCUUGAGAGAACUCGGGUGAAGGAACUAGGCAAAAUGGUGCCGUAACUUCGGGAGAAGGCACGCUGAUAUGUAGGUGAAGUCCCUUGCGGAUGGAGCUGAAAUCAGUCGAAGAUACCAGCUGGCUGCAACUGUUUAUUAAAAACACAGCACUGUGCAAACACGAAAGUGGACGUAUACGGUGUGACGCCUGCCCGGUGCCGGAAGGUUAAUUGAUGGGGUUAGCGGUAACGCGAAGCUCUUGAUCGAAGCCCCGGUAAACGGCGGCCGUAACUAUAACGGUCCUAAGGUAGCGAAAUUCCUUGUCGGGUAAGUUCCGACCUGCACGAAUGGCGUAAUGAUGGCCAGGCUGUCUCCACCCGAGACUCAGUGAAAUUGAACUCGCUGUGAAGAUGCAGUGUACCCGCGGCAAGACGGAAAGACCCCGUGAACCUUUACUAUAGCUUGACACUGAACAUUGAGCCUUGAUGUGUAGGAUAGGUGGGAGGCUUUGAAGUGUGGACGCCAGUCUGCAUGGAGCCGACCUUGAAAUACCACCCUUUAAUGUUUGAUGUUCUAACGUUGACCCGUAAUCCGGGUUGCGGACAGUGUCUGGUGGGUAGUUUGACUGGGGCGGUCUCCUCCUAAAGAGUAACGGAGGAGCACGAAGGUUGGCUAAUCCUGGUCGGACAUCAGGAGGUUAGUGCAAUGGCAUAAGCCAGCUUGACUGCGAGCGUGACGGCGCGAGCAGGUGCGAAAGCAGGUCAUAGUGAUCCGGUGGUUCUGAAUGGAAGGGCCAUCGCUCAACGGAUAAAAGGUACUCCGGGGAUAACAGGCUGAUACCGCCCAAGAGUUCAUAUCGACGGCGGUGUUUGGCACCUCGAUGUCGGCUCAUCACAUCCUGGGGCUGAAGUAGGUCCCAAGGGUAUGGCUGUUCGCCAUUUAAAGUGGUACGCGAGCUGGGUUUAGAACGUCGUGAGACAGUUCGGUCCCUAUCUGCCGUGGGCGCUGGAGAACUGAGGGGGGCUGCUCCUAGUACGAGAGGACCGGAGUGGACGCAUCACUGGUGUUCGGGUUGUCAUGCCAAUGGCACUGCCCGGUAGCUAAAUGCGGAAGAGAUAAGUGCUGAAAGCAUCUAAGCACGAAACUUGCCCCGAGAUGAGUUCUCCCUGACCCUUUAAGGGUCCUGAAGGAACGUUGAAGACGACGACGUUGAUAGGCCGGGUGUGUAAGCGCAGCGAUGCGUUGAGCUAACCGGUACUAAUGAACCGUGAGGCUUAACCUUACAACGCCGAAG
rnacentral:rRNA from 1 species